UAGUGGUGAUAGCGGAGAGGAAACACCCGUUCCCAUCCCGAACACGGAAGUUAAGCUCUCCAGCGCCGAUGGUAGUUGGGGCCAGCGCCCCUGCAAGAGUAGGUCGCUGCUAGGCC
rnacentral:rRNA from 1 species